rnacentral:rRNA from 1 species
UUAACACAUGCAAAUCGAACGCCAGCACGGGGGGCAACCUUGGUGGGCGAGUGCCGAACGGGUGAGUAAUACAUCGAAACGUGUCCUGUAGUGGGGAUAGCCCGGCGAAAGCCGGAUAUAUACCGCAUACGCUCGAGAGAGGAAAGUGGGGGAUCUUCGGACCUCACGCUAAAGGGGCGGCCGAUGGCAGAUUAGCUAGUUGGUGGGGUAAAGGCCUACCAAGGCGACGAUCUGUAGCUGGUCUGAGAGGACGACCAGCCACACUGGGACUGAGACACGGCCCAGACUCCUACGGGAGGCAGCAGUGGGGAAUUUUGGACAAUGGGGGCAACCCUGAUCCAGCAAUGCCGCGUGUGUGAAGAAGGCCUUCGGGUUGUAAAGCACUUUUGUCAGGGAAGAAAAGGGCGUCCCUAAUAUGGAAGCCUGAUGACGGUACCUGAAGAAUAAGCACCGGCUAACUACGUGC